rnacentral:rRNA from 1 species
UACAGAGGUCUCAAGCGUUGUUCGGAUUCAUUGGGCGUAAAGGUGCGUAGGCGGCGCGGUAAGUCGGGUGUGAAAUCUUGGAGCUUAACUCCGAAACUGCAUUCGAUACUGCCGUGCUUGAGGACUGGGGAGGAGACUGGAAUUUACGGUGUAGCGGUGGAAAUGCGUAGAUAUCGUAAGGAAGACCAGUGGCGAAGGCGGGUCUCGUGGACAGUU